AUUGAACGCUGGCGGCAGGCCUAACACAUGCAAGUCGAGCGGAUGAAGGGAGCUUGCUCCUGGAUUCAGCGGCGGACGGGUGAGUAAUGCCUAGGAAUCUGCCUGGUAGUGGGGGAUAACGUCCGGAAACGGGCGCUAAUACCGCAUACGUCCUGAGGGAGAAAGUGGGGGAUCUUCGGACCUCACGCUAUCAGAUGAGCCUAGGUCGGAUUAGCUAGUUGGUGGGGUAAAGGCCUACUAAGGCGACGAUCCGUAACUGGUCUGAGAGGAUGAUCAGUCACACUGGAACUGAGACACGGUCCAGGCUCCUACGGGAGGCAGCAGAGGGGAAUAUUGGACAGUGGGCGAAAGCCUGAUCCAGCCAUGCCGCGUGUGUGAAGAAGGUCUUCGGAUUGUAAAGCACUUUAAGUUGGGAGGAAGGGCAGUAAGUUGAUACCUUGCUGUAUUGACGGUACCAACAGAAGAAGCACCGGCUAACUUCGUG
rnacentral:rRNA from 1 species